CAGCCCAGUUCACCUGGAGUGACCUUCAGUGUUUAGUCAUGGAAUGCGACAGACCAACCCAUGUCCUUCCUACAUGGCCGACCUGAUGUGGUCUGCUCAAAUGGCUCAAGCCCAGCACACUCUUUCCAGGUGCUCACCAACAUGAAAGACCCUUCAAGGGCAAUGAUGGUACUGAUUGUCAUCAAUCUUCACUCUAUUUGUCACAUGAUGUCCUGGGAAGAAACAGCCUGAGAGAGACAAAAUGCCUCCUCUGACAGAGUUCUGAGGUGUGAGGUAUGCGCUAGAGAACACAGGCAGAAAACCACAUCUUCCAUCUCUCUCUGUUUCUAACCUAGUCAUCCUUUACUUCUCCCUGGAAGUCUCACCCAAUUCAUUCA
rnacentral:lncRNA from 1 species